rnacentral:rRNA from 1 species
GCUUAGAGAGGGGUCAAUGUCCUAUCAGCUAGUUGGUAAGGUAAUGGCUUACCAAGGCUAAGACGGGUAGCCGGCCUGAGAGGGUGGUCGGCCACACUGGGACUGAGACACUGCCCAGACUCCUACGGGAGGCUGCAGUCGAGAAUCUUUCGCAAUGCCCGAAAGGGUGACGAAGCGACGCCGCGUGUGGGAAGAGGGCCUUCGGGUUGUAAACCACUGUCGGGAGUUAAGAAAUGUAAGGGUGUUAAUAGCAUCCUUACUUGACUAAGGCUCCGGAGGAAGCCACGGCUAACUCUGUGCCAGCAGCCGCGGUAAUACAGAGGCGGCAAGCGUUGUUCGGAAUUAUUGGGCGUAAAGAGCACGUAGGCGGCUUUGUAAGUCAGUUGUGAAAGCCUUCCGCUUAACGGAAGAACAGCAUCUGAUACUGCAAGGCUAGAGUGCGGAAGGG